GACGGAGGAUGCAAGCGUUAUCCGGAAUGAUUGGGCGUAAAGCGUUCGCAGGUGGCUGUUCAAGGCUGCUGACAAAGACCGGGGCUUAACACUAGAAAGGCAGUGGAAACUGAACGGCUGGAGUGCAGUAGGGGUAGAGGGAAUUCCCAGUGUAGCUGUGAAAUGCGUAGAGAUUGUGAAGAACACCGGUGGCGAAAGCGCUCUGCUGGGCUGCAACUGACACUGAGGGACGAAAGCUAGGGGAGCGAAAGGG
rnacentral:rRNA from 1 species